rnacentral:rRNA from 1 species
UAAUACGAAGGGUGCUAGCGUUGUUCGGAAUUAUUGGGCGUAAAGCGUACGUAGGCGGUUCGGUAAGUCGAUUGUGAAAUACCCGAGCUCAACUUGGGAAUUGCAAUCGAAACUGCCUUACUAGAGUUUAGUGGGGGAUAGUGGAAUUUCUAGUGUAGGGGUGAAAUCCGUAGAUAUUAGGAGGAACAUCAGUGGCGAAGGCGACUAUCUACGCUAAUACUGACGCUAAGGUACGAAGGCGUGGGGAGCAAACAGGAUUAGAUACCCUGGUAGUCCACGCAGUAAACUAUGAGUGCUAGUUGUCGGGAUCUUAGAUUUCGGUGGCGAAGCUAACGCGUUAAGCACUCCGCCUGGGGACUACGAUCGCAAGAUUAAAACUCAAAGGAAUUGACGGGGACCCGCACAAGCAGUGGAUCAUGUGGUUUAAUUCGAUGCUACACGAAAAACCUUACCAACCCUUGCAUCUAGAUGACAGAUACAGAGACGUAUCCUUGGAGCAAUCCACAUUUAAGACAGGU